GAUGAACGCUAGCGGCAGGCCUAAUACAUGCAAGUCGAGGGGCAGCACAGAUAGCAAUACUGGGUGGCGACCGGCAAACGGGUGCGGAACACGUACGCAACCUUCCUUCGAGUGGGGAAUAGCCCAGAGAAAUUUGGAUUAAUACCCCGUAAGAUCGUGGACUGGCAUCAGUCAGCGAUAAAAGCUCCGGCACUUGAAGA
rnacentral:rRNA from 1 species